GCAUGACUUCCUGAUAUUGUCACCGCUCGGUCCAUCUGUUCGUAUGCACUAUACAGGCUCUCAGAUUCUGCGGCUAUAAAAGAGCUUAUCCUUCAGAUGCGUAAGGACUCGAUGGGUAGUGGACCAACCUUGAGAGAUAUUCUUGACGAUGGGGUUCGUUAUCAAAUUCAACAAAAG